rnacentral:rRNA from 1 species
UGAGGAAUAUUGGUCAAUGGACGCAAGUCUGAACCAGCCAAGUAGCGUGCAGGAUGACGGCCCUAUGGGUUGUAAACUGCUUUUAUAUGGGGAUACAGUGGGGAACGUGUUCCCUUUUGCAGGUACCAUAUGAAUAAGGAUCGGCUAAUUCCGUGCCAGCAGCCGCGGUAAUACGGCAGGUUCGGGCGUUAUCCGGAUUUAUUGGGUUUAAAGGGAGCGUAGGCCGUUUGGUAUGCGUCUUGUGAAAUGUAGGGGCUAAACUUCUAGAUUGCAGCGCGAACUAUCAGACUUGUGUGCGCACAACGUAGGCGGAAUACAUUGUGUAGCGGUGAAAUGCUUAGAUAUCAUGAAGAACUCCGAUUGCGAAGGCAGCUUACGGGUGCGCAACUGACGCUGAAGCUCGAAGGUGCGGGUAUCGAACAGG